GACGGAGGGUGCUAGCGUUGUUCGGAAUCACUGGGCGUAAAGGGCGCGUAGGCGGCCUUAUGUGUCGGAUGUGAAAGCCCGGGGCUCAACCCCGGAGGUGCAUCCGAAACUCUGGGGCUGGAGGUCGGAAGAGGAGGGUGGAAUACCCAGUGUAGAGGUGAAAUUCGUAGAUAUUGGGUGGAACACCGGUGGCGAAAGCGGCUCUCUGGUCCGGACCUGACGCUGAGGCGCGAAAGCGUGGGGAGCAAACAGG
rnacentral:rRNA from 1 species